rnacentral:rRNA from 1 species
GACGAACGCUGGCGGCGUGCUUAACACAUGCAAGUCGAACGGAAAGGCCCUGCUUUUGUGGGGUGCUCGAGUUGCGAACGGGUGAGUAACACGUAAGUAACCUGCCCCUGACUUUGGGAUAACUUCAGGAAGCUGGGGCUAAUACCGGAUAGGAGCUCCUGCUGCAUGGUGGGGGUGGGUAAGUUUCGCCGGUUGGGGAUGGACGGGCGGCUCAUCACCUCGUUGGUGGGGUGGUGUCUUACCAAGGCUUUGACGGGUAGCCGGCCUGAAAGGGUGAACGGCCACAUAGGGUCGGAGAUACGGCCGACACACAUACGGGAGGGAGGAGGGAGGAAGAAUGAUUGAUGGGCGGGAGCCAGAUGCAGCAAGGCAGCGUGCGGGAUGGAGGCCUUCGGGUUGUAAGCCGCUUUCGCCUGCGACGAAGGGUGAGUGACGGUACUGGGUAAAGAGACACCGGUAACCUACGG